rnacentral:ncRNA from 1 species
GACUUAAAACUCCCUCCAAACACAAAAAUUUGGUCCUAAUUUUAAAAUCAAUUCCUUCUUGACUUACACAUGCAAGUCUCCUCAACCCUGUGAGUAUGCCCUCUCUCCCCAUCUGGGGCCAGGAGCCGGUAUAAGGCACCUUAAACCGCCCAAAACACCUAGCAACAGCCACACCCAUAAGGGACACAGCAGUGAUUAACAUUAGAUAUAAGUGCCAACUUGAUCUAGUUAAAGAAGCACAGGGCCGGCAAAAUUGGUGCCAGCCGCCGCGGUUACACCACAGGCCCAAACUGACUUUUAUCGGCGUAAAGCGUGAUUAAAGACAAUGACAAACUGGAGUUAAACCUAAACUAAGCAGUGACAUGCCUGUUUUAGAGAGACCCACAAACGAAAGUUGCUCUACCCCUUAACAACUUGAACCCACGAUAGCCAAGAUACAAACUAGGAUUAGAUACCCUACUAUGCUUAGCCUUAAACUUUAAAUUACUUCCCAUCGCCAAGGAACUACGAGCAAUGCUUAAAACCUAAAGGACUUGACGGUACCCCAUAUCCCCCUAGAGGAGCCUGUCCUAGAAUCGAUAACCCUCGUUAAACCUCACCACUUCUAGCCUCUCAGCCUGUAUACUUCCGUCCUAGCUUACCAUGUGAGUGAAUUAGUGAGCUCCACCGCCACAGCUAAUACAUCAGGUCAAAGUGCAGCAAAUAAAGUGGGAAGAGAUGGGCUACACUUUCUAUUUUAGAAUAAACGAAAAGUCAAUAUGCAAUCUGACUGGAAGGUGGAUUUAGUAGUAAAAAGAAAAUAGAGUGUUCUUUUUAACACGGCACUGGGGUGUGUACACACCGCCCGUCACCCUCCUCAAUAAUAUAACUGUUAGUAAUUAACAAACCCCCUAAAUAUCAAGAAGAGGCAAGUCGUAACACGGUAAGCAUACCGGAAGGUGUGCUUGGAUACAAAGUA